rnacentral:rRNA from 1 species
UACGGAGGGUGCAAGCGUUAUCCGGAUUCACUGGGUUUAAAGGGUGCGUAGGUGGGUUGGUAAGUCAGUGGUGAAAUCUCCGAGCUUAACUUGGAAACUGCCAUUGAUACUAUCAGUCUUGAAUAUUGUGGAGGUCAGCGGAAUAUGUCAUGUAGCGGUGAAAUGCUUAGAUAUGACAUAGAACACCAAUUGCGAAGGCAGCUGGCUACGCAUAUAUUGACACUGAGGCACGAAAGCGUGGGGAUCAAACAGGG